rnacentral:rRNA from 1 species
AGAGUUUGAUCCUGGCUCAGGAUGAACGCUAGCUACAGGCUUAACACAUGCAAGUCGAGGGGCAGCAUGUUGGUUGCUUGCAACCAACGAUGGCGACCGGCGCACGGGUGAGUAACGCGUAUCCAACCUACCCUUGUCCAUCGGAUAACCCGUCGAAAGGCGGCCUAACACGAUAUGCGGUUCACAGCAGGCAUCUAACGUGAACGAAAUGUGAAGGAGAAGGAUGGGGAUGCGUCUGAUUAGCUUGUUGGCGGGGUAACGCCACCAAGGCUACGAUCAGUAGGGGUUCUGAGAGGAAGGUCCCCCANAUUGGAACUGAGACACGGUCCAAACUCCGUACGGGAGGCA